rnacentral:rRNA from 1 species
GAUGAACGCUGGCGGCGUGCCUAAUGCAUGCAAGUCGAGCGAACGGACGAGAAGCUUGCUUCUCUGAUGUUAGCGGCGGACGGGUGAGUAACACGUGGAUAACCUACCUAUAAGACUGGGAUAACUUCGGGAAACCGGAGCUAAUACCGGAUAAUAUUUUGAACCGCAUGGUUCAAAAGUAAAAGACGGUCUUGCUGUCACUUAUAGAUGGAUCCGCGCUGCAUUAGCUAGUUGGUAAGGUAACGGCUUACCAAGGCAACGAUGCAUAGCCGACCUGAGAGGGUGAUCGGCCACACUGGAACUGAGACACGGUCCAGACUCCUACGGGAGGCAGCAGUAGGGAAUCUUCCGCAAUGGGCGAAAGCCUGACGGAGCAACGCCGCGUGAGUGAUGAAGGUCUUCGGAUCGUAAAACUCUGUUAUUAGGGAAGAACAUAUGUGUAAGUAACUGUGCACAUCUUGACGGUACCUAAUCAGAAAGCCACGGCUAACUACGUG